rnacentral:rRNA from 1 species
UACGUAGGGUGCGAGCGUUUAAUCGGAAUUACUGGGCGUAAAGCGUGCGCAGGCGGUUUUGUAAGCCAGGUGUGAAAUCCCCGGGCUCAACCUGGGAAUGGCAUUUGGGUCUGCAAGGCUGGAGUGCGGCAGAGGAGACUGGAAUUCCUGGUGUAGCAGUGAAAUGCGUAGAUAUCAGGAGGAAUACCGAUGGCGGAAGGCAGGUCUCUGGGCUGACAC